rnacentral:rRNA from 1 species
UGGCUUAGAAGCAGCCAUCAUUUAAAGAAAGCGUAAUAGCUCACUGGUCGAGUCGGCCUGCGCGGAAGAUGUAACGGGGCUAAACCAUGCACCGAAGCUGCGGCAGCGACGCUGAUGCGUUGUUGGGUAGGGGAGCGUUCUGUAAGCCUGCGAAGGUGUGCUGUGAGGCAUGCUGGAGGUAUCAGAAGUGCGAAUGCUGACAUAAGUAACGAUAAAGCGGGUGAAAAGCCCGCUCGCCGGAAGACCAAGGGUUCCUGUCCAACGUUAAUCGGGGCAGGGUGAGUCGACCCCUAAGGCGAGGCCGAAAGGCGUAGUCGAUGGGAAACAGGUUAAUAUUCCUGUACUUGGUGUUACUGCGAAGGGGGGACGGAGAAGGCUAUGUUGGCCGGGCGACGGUUGUCCCGGUUUAAGCGUGUAGGCUGGUUUUCCAGGCAAAUCCGGAAAAUCAAGGCUGAGGCGUGAUGACGAGGCACUACGGUGCUGAAGCAACAAAUGCCCUGCUUCCAGGAAAAGCCUCUAAGCAUCAGGUAACAUCAAAUCGUACCCCAAACCGACACAGGUGGUCAGGUAGAGAAUACCAAGGCGCUUGAGAGAACUCGGGUGAAGGAACUAGGCAAAAUGGUGCCGUAACUUCGGGAGAAGG